rnacentral:rRNA from 1 species
ACGGAGGGGGCUAGCGUUGUUCGGAAUUACUGGGCGUAAAGCGCACGUAGGCGGACUGGAAAGUCAGAGGUGAAAUCCCAGGGCUCAACCUUGGAACUGCCUUUGAAACUAUCAGUCUGGAGUCCGAGAGAGGUGAGUGGAAUUCCGAGUGUAGAGGUGAAAUUCGUAGAUAUUCGGAGGAACACCAGUGGCGAAGGCGGCUCACUGGCUCGGUACUGACGCUGAGGUGCGAAAGCGUGGGGAGCAAACAGG